UCCGUAGGUGAACCUGCGGAAGGAUCAUUAAUGAUUGACCGUCUGUCGAGCUUGCUCACAGGCACAUCAUAUCCAUAACACCUGUGCACUUGUCGGAUGGCUUAGUGAAGACCGCAAGGUUGGAUCUAUCCAUCUACUUUACAUAACAAUUCUGUAACAAAUGUAGUCUUAUUAUAACAUAAUAAAACUUUCAACAACGGAUCUCUUGGCUCUCGCAUCGAUGAAGAACGCAGCGAAAUGCGAUAAGUAAUGUGAAUUGCAGAAUUCAGUGAAUCAUCGAAUCUUUGAACGCACAUUGCGCCCCCUGGUAUUCCGGGGGGCAUGCCUGUCCGAGCGUCAUUACAACCCUCAAGCUCAGCUUGGUGUUGGGCCCCGCCGCCCCGGCGGGCCCUAAAGUCAGUGGCGGUGCCGUCCGGCUCCGAGCGUAGUAAUUCUUCUCGCUCUGGAGGUCCGGUCGUGUGCUUGCCAGCAACCCCCAAUUUUUUUCAGGUUGACCUCGGAUCAGGUAGGGAUACCCGCUGAACUUAAGCAUAUCAAUAAGCGGAGGAA
rnacentral:rRNA from 1 species